GCAAGUCGAGGGGUAACAGAGGUAGCUUGCUACUUGCUGACGACCGGCGCACGGGUGCGUAACGCGUAUAGAAUCUGCCUCAUACUGAGGGAUAGCCUUUGGAAACGAAGAUUAAUACCUCAUAGUAUCAUUUAACGGCAUCGUUUAGUGAUUAAAGGUUACGGUAUGAGAUGACUAUGCGUCCUAUUAGUUAGUUGGUGAGGUAAUGGCUCACCAAGACAAUGACGCUUAACUGGUUUGAGAGGAUGAUC
rnacentral:rRNA from 1 species